ACACUUUAAAGAUUAUGCAAGCUUAUAUAUCUUAUAUUCUUUGCAUGUCUCUUCUCCCCCAUCAUGUUGCAAGAACUAUAUUUUAUCUGAUCUUGUUGUUGCUCUCAUUUUGAAAUCUUAUCACACUUUAAGUGAAUAGCAACACUCAAUGGGAUUUCUGUUUAUCACAGUGCUUCCUGUUUUCACAGUAUCCCUCAGUGAGGGAUAAUUUCCUGAGGUUAACAGCGAUAAGAAGGAGUCAUUUCUGGUGAAGAUAUGUGUGAAAACAGGAUGCACUGUGAUAA